rnacentral:rRNA from 1 species
ACGGCCGACGAAGCCGUAGAUGUAUCGAGCGCAUAAAGGUAGCUUGCUCCCGGAUGUUAGCGGCGGACGGGUGAGUAACACGUGGGUAACCUGCCUGUAAGACUGGGAUAACUCCGGGAAACCGGAGCUAAUACCGGAUAGUUCCUUGAACCGCAUGGUUCAAGGAUGAAAGACGGUUUCGGCUGUCACUUACAGAUGGACCCGCGGCGCAUUAGCUAGUUGGUGGGGUAAUGGCUCACCAAGGCGACGAUGCGUAGCCGACCUGAGAGGGUGAUCGGCCACACUGGGACUGAGACACGGCCCAGACUCCUACGGGAGGCAGCAGUAGGGAAUCUUCCGCAAUGGACGAAAGUCUGACGGAGCAACGCCGCGUGAGUGAUGAAGGUUUUCGGAUCGUAAAGCUCUGUUGUUAGGGAAGAACAAGUGCGAGAGUAACUGCUCGCACCUUGACGGUACCUAACCAGAAAGCCACGGCUAACUACGUGCCAGCAGCCGCGGUUAUACGUAGGUGGCCAGCGUGUCCGGGAAUUAUGGGCGCCAGGGGCCUUUGACCGGCUUCUUUAAUCUGAUGUGAAAUCCACUCGCGCAACCGGGGAGGGUCAUUGGAAACUGGGAAACUUGAGUGCAGAAGAGGAGAGUGGAAUUCCACGUGUAGCGGUGAAAUGCGUAGAGAUGUGGAGGAACACCAGUGGCGAAGGCGACUCUCUGGUCUGUAACUGACGCUGAGGAGCGAAAGCGUGGGGAGCGAACAGGAUUAGAUACCCUGGUAGUCCAC